AUUACAAAGAUGGGUUUACAAUAUUACCUAUGCUUCUUUAGAAAAGCCUCUCCUAACUACGUUAAUAACAAUGACUGCUAGUGUAAUCUUCCUAACAGUAAUGUUAAUACUAGCAGUCAUUUUUGCUGUCGUAAUAUGUCUUACAAGCAUUAUUUUGUUAAUAGAAGGGUUUUUGCUGGUGGUGAUAAUAAUUGCAGUUAGUUUACUUACCAUGCUUGGUUCAUACAUUUAUGUCGUUGGAAUUACCUUAACUCUUUAUUUUAAAGCUGAAAGCAAAGGAGACAGAACCAUGGCAGAAACAAAUUAACUUAAUAUCUUAUAUGUGUUUGAUUUGGUAAUUAAAUGCUCUUUGGAAUUUA